GUCUCAAACUUCUGGCUUCAAACUAUCUGCCUGCCUCAGCCUCCCAAAGUGCUGGGAUUACAGGCGUGAGCACCGUGCCCUGCCUCUCUUCAAGGACUCUCUUUGCUACAUCGGCAUCACCUGGGAACGUGGUAGGGCUACAGAAUCUUGGGCCCCACCUUGGACCUACCUAAUCGUCAUCUUAUUCAUUGGUGUUCCCUUCGCCAGAGACCAGGUCGAUUGUCUUGGAGAAUGUCCCACAUUCAGCAUUUGUCUGCAUGCUUCCUUAUGGUGCCAUGCUCUUGUCCCUCUAUUCCAAGUGAGUGGAAGUUAGCUGGAGAAGUUUGACUAAAUUCAGGAUCAAGUUUUUGUGACAAGAAUAUUUCCUAGCUGGUGCUAUGUGCAUUUGCAUGGCAUCAGGAGGCAGAUGAUAUCUAGUUGGAAACAAGACUUUGGAUUUUACAAGCUAUGCUUUUGUAAGGAAAGGAACACAUUUAAAGGAGCUUUUUGACUGCUGUGCAAAGAAGAGACUGUGUAGGGCUGGGAGACAGAGCGAGGCGACUGUGAGAAUCCAGGCGGCACACAAUGGGGGCCCUGCCGGAGGUGCUGGCAACGGAGGUGUGAGAAGCAGUCAUAUUCUGGAUAUAUUUAGAAGUUUAGGAUUUGCCGACAGAUUGGAUGUGAGGUAAAAGGGAGAGAGAGUGGAGUUAAAGAUGCCUCCAAGGUUUUAGCCUGAGCCACAGCUGCCAAUCAGUGAGGUGGGAAAGACUACAGUGACAUUUUAGGUACCAUCUGCUAGUCCUGCAAUGUCACGACCUGCUUGGUUGU